UGAUAGGCCGCAGGUGUAAGACGGGCAACCGUUUCAGCUGAGCGGUACUAAUAGGUCGAGGGCUUGACCAU
rnacentral:rRNA from 1 species